UGAAUACGAGAUGCUACGGCGUCGAAGCAGUGUAUGUCAGACUUCCAAGAAAAGCUCGCAAUGUCAUAAAUAAAGAAUGCCUGUACCAUAACCGACACAGGUGGGUAGGUAGAGUAUACUAAGGGGCGCGAGAUAACUCUCUCUAAGGAACUCGGCAAAAUAACUCCGUAACUUCGGGAGAAGGAGUGCCUUCUUUAAGAAGGUUGCAAUAACAAGAUCCAAGCAACUGUUUAUCAAAAACACAGGUCUCCGCUAAGUCGUAAGACGAUGUAUGGGGGCUGACGCCUGCCCAGUGCCAGAAGGUUAAAGAAGUUGGUUAGCUUUUGCGAAGCUGAUGACUGAAGCCCUGGUGAACGGCGGCCGUAACAAUAACGGUCCUAAGGUAGCGAAAUUCCUUGUCGGGUAAGUUCCGACCCGCACGAAAGGCGUAAUGAUUUGGAUACUGUCUCGGAGAGGGACUCGGUGAAAUAGACUUGUCUGUGAAGAUGCGGACUACCUGCACCAGGACAGAAAGACCCUAUGAAGCUUUACUGUAACUUGAAAUUGAAAUUGGACUUUAUUUGCGCAGUAUAGGUGGAAGGCGUUGAAAGUAAUCUUGCGGGAUUAGUGGAGCCAUCAGUGAGAUACCACUCCUAUAAUGUUAGAUUUCUAACUUUGGAUCAUGAUCUGGUCAAAGAACAGUUUCAGGCGGGCAGUUUGACUGGGGCGGUCGCCUCCCAAAUGGUAACGGAGGCGUACAAAGGUUUCCUCUGAACGGGUAGAAAUCGUAUCUAGAGUGUAAAGGCAUAAGGAAGCUUGACUGUGAGACCUACAAGUCGAGCAGGGACGAAAGUCGGUCUUAGUGAUCUGACGGUGCUGAGUGGAAAGGCCGUCACUCAACGGAUAAAAGUUACUCUAAGGAUAACAGGCUGAUCUCCCCCAAGAGUUCGCAUCGACGGGGAGGUUUGGCACCUCGAUGUCGGCUCAUCGCAUCCUGGGGCGGUAGUACGUCCCAAGGGUUGGGCUGUUCGCCCAUGAAAGCGGUACGCGAGCUGGGUUCAGAACGUCGUGAGACAGUUCGGUCCAUAUCCGGUGUAGGCGUUAGAAUAUUGAGAGGAGCCUUCUUUAGUACGAGAGGACCGAGAAGGACAUACCUCUGGUGUACCAGUUAUCGUGCCAACGGUAAACGCUGGGUAGCUAUGUAUGGAGAGGAUAACCGCUGAAAGCAUCUAAGUGGGAAGCCCACCUCAAGAUGAGUAUUCUC
rnacentral:rRNA from 1 species